rnacentral:rRNA from 1 species
AGAGUUUGAUCCUGGCUCAGAACGAACGUUGGCGGUAGGCUUAACACAUGCAAGUUGAACGAGAAACCACCUUCGGGUGGCGGUCAGUGGCGAACGGGUGAGUAAUACUUGGGAAUCUACCCUGAAGUGGGGGAUAACAGUUGGAAACGACUGCUAAUACCGCAUAAUCCAUAUUGGGAAAGCUUUAGUGCCUUAGGAUGAGCCCAAGCCUGAUUAGCUUGUUGGUGCGGUAACGGCGCACCAAGGCGACGAUCAGUAGCUGGUUUGAGAGGAUGAUCAGCCACACUGGGACUGAGACACGGCCCAGACUCCUACGGGAGGCAGCAGUGGGGAAUAUUGCGCAAUGGGCGAAAGCCUGACGCAGCCAUACCGCGUGUACGAUGAAGGCCUUAGGGUUGUAAAGUACUUUUACCAGUCAUAAUAGUGAUAGUAGCUGGAGAAAAAGUCCCGGCUAAUUCAGUGCCAGCAGCCGCGGUAAUACUGAAGGGGCAAACGUUGUUCGGAUUCACUGGGCGUAAAGCGACCGCAGGCGGUUUAUUAAGUCAGAUGUGAAAGCCCCGCGCUCAACGUGGGAACUGCAUUUGAAACUGGUAAACUAGAGUUCGAGAGAGGAAAAUGGAAUUCCAAGUGUAGAGGUGAAAUUCGUAGAUAUUUGGAGGAACAUCAGAGGCGAAGGCGAUUUUCUGGCUCGAUACUGACGCUCAGGGUCGAAAGCGUGGGGAGCAAACAGGAUUAGAUACCCUGGUAGUCCACGCCGUAAACGAUGAGUACUCGCUGUCAGUCCCGCUACAGGGAUUGGUGGCCAAGCUAACGCAUUAAGUACUCCGCCUGGGGACUACGGCCGCAAGGUUAAAACUCAAAGGAAUUGACGGGGACCCGCACAAGUGGUGGAGCAUGUUGUUUAAUUCGAAAAUACGCGAAGAACCUUACCUAGCCUUGACAUCCUGAUCGUACUUUCUAGAGAUAGAUUGGUCGGUUCGGCCGGAUCAGUGACAGGUGUUGCAUGGCCGUCGUCAGCUCGUGUCGUGAGAUGUUGGGUUAAGUCCCGCAACGACGCAACCCUCAUGUUUAGUUGCCAGCAUUCAGUUGGGCACUCUAGACAAACCGCCGGGGAUAACCCGGAGGAAGGUGGGGACGACGUCAGGUCAUCAUGGCCCUUACGGCUAGGGCUACAGACGUGCUACAAUGGUACCUACAGCGAGACGCAAUGCAGCAAUGCGGAGCAAAUCUUCAAAAGGUAUCUCAGUUCGGAUCGGAGUCUGCAACUCGACUCCGUGAAGUUGGAAUCACUAGUAAUCGUGGAUCAGCAUGCCACGGUGAAUACGUUCCCGGGUCUUGUACACACCGCCUGUCAAGUCAUGGGAGUUGGGUCUUCCUGAAUUGGGUGAGCUAACCGUAAGGAGGCAGCUCAACACGGAAGGACCAGCGACUGGGAUUAAGG